rnacentral:rRNA from 1 species
AGUGAACGCUGGCGGUAGGCCUAACACAUGCAAGUCGAACGGCAGCACAGAGGAGCUUGCUCCUUGGGUGGCGAGUGGCGGACGGGUGAGGAAUACAUCGGAAUCUACUCUGUCGUGGGGGAUAACGUAGGGAAACUUACGCUAAUACCGCAUACGACCUACGGGUGAAAGCAGGGGACCUUCGGGCCUUGCGCGAUUGAAUGAGCCGAAGUCGGAUUAGCUAGUUGGCGGGGUAAAGGCCCACCAAGGCGACGAUCCGUAGCUGGUCGGCGAGGAUGAUCAGCCACACUGGAACUAGGACACGGUCCAGACUCCUACGGGAGGCAGCAGUGGGGAAUAUUGGACAAUGGGCGCAAGCCUGAUCCAGCCAUACCGCGUGGGUGAAGAAGGCCUUCGGGUUGUAAAGCCCUUUUGUUGGGAAAGAAAUCCAGCUGGCUAAUACCCGGUUGGGAUGACGGUACCCAAAGAAUAAGCACCGGCUAACUUCGUGCCAGCCGCCGCCGUAA